rnacentral:rRNA from 1 species
UCGGGUGACGAGCGGCGGACGGGUGAGUAAUGUCUGGGAAACUGCCUGAUGGAGGGGGAUAACUACUGGAAACGGUAGCUAAUACCGCAUAAUGUCGCAAGACCAAAGUGGGGGACCUUCGGGCCUCAUGCCAUCAGAUGUGCCCAGAUGGGAUUAGCUAGUAGGUGGGGUAACGGCUCACCUAGGCGACGAUCCCUAGCUGGUCUGAGAGGAUGACCAGCCACACUGGAACUGAGACACGGUCCAGACUCCUACGGGAGGCAGCAGUGGGGAAUAUUGCACAAUGGGCGCAAGCCUGAUGCAGCCAUGCCGCGUGUGUGAAGAAGGCCUUCGGGUUGUAAAGCACUUUCAGCGGGGAGGAAGGCGAUGAGGUUAAUAACCUUGUCGAUUGACGUUACCCGCAGAAGAAGCACCGGCUAACUCCGUGCCAGCAGCCGCGGUAAUACGGAGGGUGCAAGCGUUAAUCGGAAUUACUGGGCGUAAAGCGCACGCAGGCGGUCUGUCAAGUCGGAUGUGAAAUCCCCGGGCUCAACCUGGGAACUGCAUUCGAAACUGGCAGGCUAGAGUCUUGUAGAGGGGGGUAGAAUUCCAGGUGUAGCGGUGAAAUGCGUAGAGAUCUGGAGGAAUACCGGUGGCGAAGGCGGCCCCCUGGACAAAGACUGACGCUCAGGUGCGAAAGCGUGGGGAGCAAACAGGAUUAGAUACCCUGGUAGUCCACGCCGUAAACGAUGUCGAUUUGGAGGUUGUGCCCUUGAGGCGUGGCUUCCGGAGCUAACGCGUUAAAUCGACCGCCUGGGGAGUACGGCCGCAAGGUUAAAACUCAAAUGAAUUGACGGGGGCCCGCACAAGCGGUGGAGCAUGUGGUUUAAUUCGAUGCAACGCGAAGAACCUUACCUGGUCUUGACAUCCACAGAACUUUCCAGAGAUGGAUUGGUGCCUUCGGGAACUGUGAGACAGGUGCUGCAUGGCUGUCGUCAGCUCGUGUUGUGAAAUGUUGGGUUAAGUCCCGCAACGAGCGCAACCCUUAUCC